CAUGGACUGGAAUCUAGUCUUUGUGUUGUUUUGCUCCCUUAGUGCUUCCUAAAGGGUGUUCGUCAAAUGUUAUGUUGGAAAAAGUGGAUGGGUUCUUAUUCUGUGGUUGGCCAAUGGAUUCUCAUGGUCUUUGCAUGAUUGUUUUCCUUCUUGUUGGUGGAUGAAUUGUGUGAUAGUAGGUUUGAUCUAUGCCAUUUGUGUUUCUUAUUUUUUAGGAUCCUAGGCUAGGUUGGAAGGUCUGUCAAUCC
rnacentral:lncRNA from 1 species